CUUUGCGUAUUUAUCACUCCAGUUGCUAGAAUUUUCUUGUUUGUUUAACAUCACCCGGCAUACAGUUUUAUAGUAAUAAUAUGAGAGUUAUCUUUUUUAUGUUUUGUGCAAGUGUGUUUUCUAAUGGAGGUACUCAACCAUCUUAUAAUAAUGUCAGCAGAUCGCAAGGAAAUUCAUUUACACCAAAUAUACAGACAUCAAGUGAUGAGACAUCAACAUCAUCGAGCUACAGAGUUUUGUCAGAACAGAUUCCAGACCAAAAGUUUGCUAUCAAGCAAAGACAGCAAAGUAUAUGGACGAGUACAACACAAACACGACGUAUAAUUGACAAUCACAAUCAAGGAAGCAGAACAUUAAUUUUGAUGAGAGGUUUACCAGGGAGUGGCAAGUCUUUCUUGGCAAAGACCCUAGCCGAAACCAUGUGUCCUAUGAUUGACUAUAAAACAUUUGUGUUUAGCACCGAUGAUUUUUUUGUUCAUAAAGGGAAAUAUGAAUUUGAUAGAAGCAGAUUACAAGAAGCUCAUACUUGGAACCAAAAUAGAGUAAGAGCUGAGAUUGAUCGUGGCUUAAGUCCUAUUUUCGUUGAUAAUACUAAUAUAGAAAUGUGGGAAAUGGAGCCUUAUGUUCGGGACGGUGUUAGGAAUGGAUAUAUAAUUGAAGUUUUAGAACCUAAAACUCCUUGGGCUAGAGACGCUGAACAAUUAUUUCACAAAAACAGCCAUAAUGUUACACUUAAUUAUAUAGAAGAAAAGCUGAGUCAUCUUUUUUCAACGAAUAUUACUGGGGAUUCUGUAAUAAGACAUUUUAAGUUAUUUUACCCCACGGAUAAAGUACUUCCGGUAAUAAGAAAUUUUCCUCCUGUUUCCUAUUGUUAUAAUAGUAAACAUGCUGUACUACUUGUUUAAGAUUCAUGUGUUAGAAAUGAAUGUAUUUAUUUAAGUAGUUUAAAGAGUAUUUGCUUAUUAUAAGUGUAACAUAAUUUUUGUACAACAUUCACUAAAGGAAACAAAAUCAAAAUAACUUGUCAAUAAUUCUACACGUAAUGAUCCUUAAUAAUAGAUUUAUUUAUUGGUACUAAUCAUACACUGUCAAUAUUGGUUAAAAAUUACAAUUAUGAUCAAAAUUAAAUAUGUAUAUGUCAAUUAGUAAUUCGGAAAUUAAUACAAAGGUAAAUUAAGUCAGUCCAAUUAAAGCUUGCAAUAAAUUAAAAUAAAAUAAAAAAUAAA